CAGCAGCCACGGGAAUACGGAGGGAGCUAGCGUUAUUCGGAAUUACUGGGCGUAAAGCGCACGUAGGCGGCUUUGUAAGUAAGAGGUGAAAGCCCGGAGCUCAACUCCGGAACUGCCUUUUAGACUGCAUCGCUUGAAUCCAGGAGAGGUGAGUGGAAUUCCGAGUGUAGAGGUGAAAUUCGUAGAUAUUCGGAAGAACACCAGUGGCGAAAGCGGCUCACUGGACCAUAACUGACGCUGAUGCACGAAAGCUAGGGGAGCAAACAGGAUUAGAGACCCCCGUAGUCCCUGUCUCUUAUAA
rnacentral:rRNA from 1 species